GGGGAAUAUUGGACAAUGGGCGCAAGCCUGAUCCAGCCAUGCCGCGUGAGUGAUGAAGGCCUUAGGGUUGUAAAGCUCUUUUAGUGGGGACGAUAAUGACGGUACCCACAGAAAAAGCCCCGGCUAACUUCGUGCCAGCAGCCGCGGUAAUACGAAGGGGGCUAGCGUUGUUCGGAUUUACCGGGCGUAAAGCGCACGUAGGCGGAUCGUUAAGUCGGGGGUGAAAUCCUGGAGCUCAACUCCAGAACUGCCUUUGAUACUGGCGAUCUUGAGUCCGGAAGAGGUGAGUGGAACUCCUAGUGUAGAGGUGGAAUUCGUAGAUAUUAGGAAGAACACCAGUGGCGAAGGCGGCUCACUGGUCCGGUACUGACGCUGAGGGGCGAAAGCGUGGGGAGCAAAC
rnacentral:rRNA from 1 species